rnacentral:rRNA from 1 species
CAGUCGCCGCGGUAAUACGUAGGUGGCAAGCGUUGUCCGGAUUUAUUGGGCGUAAAGGGAGUGUAGGCGGUCUUUUAAGUCUGAUGUGAAAGCCCACGGCUCAACCGUGGAGGGUCAUUGGAGACUGGGAGACUUGAGUGCAGAAGAGGAGAGCGGAAUUCCAUGUGUAGCGGUGAAAUGCGUAGAUAUAUGGAGGAACACCAGUGGCGAAGGCGGCUCUCUGGUCUGUAACUGACGCUGAGGCUCGAAAGCGUGGGGAGCAAACAGGAUUAGAUACCCGAGUAGUCCCUGUCUCUUAUAC